AGAAAAAGCAGAAAUUGCUCCACACGACAGCCGCCUUGGCAGUCAACUGUGGUUUCAUUACAAGCACGAACGAGCCCUCAGAACAACAGUUUGGAGAUGAAACCAUGGUAUAAUGAAAAGGAUGAGCUUUGGCAUAAGGCUGAAUUUCUGAGUGAGUAAAAACAGACGACUGCUUCAUGUCUGACCAUCUGAGACGGCUUCCAUCCAACCACAACAACAGAUUACAUUGUCUGCUCUUUCUCAGUGGAGGAAAAAUGACCUUGGGUUCAUCUGUUGCUAUGUGUGAUGACAGGACAGACACGGCUUUCGGUUCUCCUGCCUACUUUCUUUUUGUCCUUUCCUGGAAAGUUUCAAACAUGAAACUCCAUCUGCCUCACUCUGCUUUCCUCUCUUUCCCAUUUGGAAUAA